rnacentral:rRNA from 1 species
CCGGCGUGAGGGAUCAGUCUGACUUCUAGUCAGUACUUGGUCCUCUCAUGCCGUCCUUGAAUGGUGCAUCCUGGCAUUAAGUUGUCGGGGUGAGAGCCGUUCAUCGUUUACUGUGAGAAAAUUAGAGUGUUCAAAGCAGGCUUAUGCCGUUGAAUAUAUUAGCAUGGAAUAAUAAGAUAGGACUUUGGUACUAUUUUGUUGGUUUGAGAACCAAGGUAAUGAUCAAUAGGGACAGUUGGGGGUAUUCGUAUUCAGUUGUCAGAGGUGAAAUUCUUAGAUUUCCGGAAGACGAACUACUGCGAAAGCAUUUACCAAGGAUGUUUUCAUUAAUCAAGAACGAAAGUAUGGGGAUCGAAGAUGAUUAGAUA